AUUCAACACAUGUUUUCUAUAUCCGUUGUUAGACCCAGAGAGACAUACAAGGGAGGCUGCGUGUUGGCAGCAAGGAGAGACUGACUUUCUUUGGACAAGUUCAGUUAGACCCUUUGCACUCAAGUCACCAAGCAAUAAAAGUCAGAGCCAACUUCAGCCAUCAGCUCCAGCUGCAGCUCCCCUCCUCCGCUACAGUGGAGGGAAAUGUAUGUUGGAACCCCAAAAACAACACUGACUUUGAUUAUCAGGCCAGAGGGAAACUGAGAAUAGAACGACAGGAGUGCCAAGUGAGUAAAAACCAACUCAGCGUUUUAAUUGCUUAAUCUGCAGCAGUUCUGAUCAUUUUCUUUUCUUUUUAGCUUUCUGUGCAGCUCAAUGGAACGUCGGGACGAGUCGGUCUUUAUUCUUCUCUCAGACAUCCCUUCAAAUCAAAGAUUCCACAAACAUUAGAGGUAAAGGCCACUGCAGACGUUUUUGCAGUGGCUGGCACAGGAAGUAGCUCAGUACAUGUGAGGGCUGAUGGGAAGGACAGGGUGAAACUGGACACCCAGAUGUCCCACUCCUUCCAGAGGGGAGCCAGAGCCGUGGGACUGAGGGUGAACGUAUCCCAGAGCCUGCUGCCUUCGGCCACUGACCUGCAUAUCAACAUGGCUGCCAACAUUACCUCGGACAGGUAUCAUUUUUUGUCAGAUAUCACAGAUCUACAGUGACGAUAAUAUAUGUAAUAAACAAUGUUGAAUGUCUCUUUAUGGACUUUUGAACUCAUUGCAUUACUGUGCUCUGUCUCCUCCAGCGUGUCUCUACAUGGCUCCUAUACACAGGGGCACGAGGCUCUACUGGCUCAGGUCAAAGGGUCUCUUAAAGACACCCGGGGCCUCCAGCUGGCUGUGUCCGGGGACCUGAGGCACUCUAUGGCCAACCUUGCUAUUUUGCCUCCAGUCCUGGGCUUAGACGGGCUGCUGGGACACUCUGACACCCUCAUUGAAGGACAGCUGAGAGUUAGAGUGAUGGAGACCUUGUACAGUGUGGAGCUGAGACAUCAGGAGGAACCCGGAGAGUCUUCAGACAGAGAAGAUGAAGAGGGCAUGAUGGGAAAGAAAUUUCAUGUGGCCCGUGAUUGGCUGUGUGUUUGGUCAGGGGCGGAGCAUUUGUGCGUGAAUGCAAGCCGCCGACUUGGGAAUGGAGGGACGGGUGAGGUCUACACCAGACUAUCUCACUCCUUCCACCUGCUCAAUGCCACAGGUAAAUCAUUACUUUAUACAUAUACACAGAAUAAUGUGUCCUGGAGUCUCAGUGUCUGUGUCUUCUGGAUACAGGUGUACCUGCCAGCAGUGAUGCCCAGGCGAGGUGGGCCCAGGAUGGCGGUCGACUGUCAGUCCUUGCAGAGCUGCACGCUGGACCAGAACAUCUAAAAGCUGAGUUUAAUGGAGGCAAGACAGACCAGGUAACACCACGAUGGGAGUACUUCUCCAGGCUGCAGCAUCAAGUCAAAGCCCUGCUGAAAAGAGGUGUAUCAAGCUCCAUACAAGCCGAAGCACAUUAUCAGGUGCAGGACUAUCUUCUAUUUUCCUAUCCCUAGCAAGUUCAUAUUUCAUUUACAAGCGUAGAUGCAUCAAUCUGUUGUCUUUCCUCUAUCGUUAUUUGUUACGUUUUUCUUCCCACUGUUAGUUAGAAGCAGGAGGCCUGGACACAGGCUUGGUCCUUCACAUGGGAGACGAGAGAAUGGUUGACAUCGUCUUUAAUGUCGGAUUGAAAAACAGCACAGCUAUAUUGGUAGUGUCUCUAUGGCAACAGAUGAAGCUGCUCCAGGAAGUCAUACCCACCUCUUUACAGGUGAACUUAACAUCACUUACACAAACAUUAGAACUCUGGCUGUGUCUUUAUUCAUCUUAACCCAUGAUCUUUAGUUGUAGAGCAUUGUGUUUAAGUCUUA
rnacentral:lncRNA from 1 species